UAGGGAAUCUUCCACAAUGGACGCAAGUCUGAUGGAGCAACGCCGCGUGAGUGAAGAAGGUCUUCGGAUCGUAAAACUCUGUUGUUAGAGAAGAACACGAGUGAGAGUAACUGUUCAUUCGAUGACGGUAUCUAACCAGCAAGUCACGGCUAACUACGUGCCAGCAGCCGCGGUAAUACGUAGGUGGCAAGCGUUGUCCGGAUUUAUUGGGCGUAAAGGGAACGCAGGCGGUCUUUUAAGUCUGAUGUGAAAGCCUUCGGCUUAACCGGAGUAGUGCAUUGGAAACUGGAAGACUUGAGUGCAGAAGAGGAGAGUGGAACUCCAUGUGUAGCGGUGAAAUGCGUAGAUAUAUGGAAGAACACCAGUGGCGAAAGCGGCUCUCUGGUCUGUAACUGACGCUGAGGUUCGAAAGCGUGGGUAGCAAACAGGAUUAGAUACCCUGGUAGUCCACGCCGUAACGAUGAAUGCUAGGUGUUGGAGGGUUUCCACCCUUCAGUGCCGCAGCUAACGCAAUAAGCAUUCCGCCUGGGGAGUACGACCGCAAGGUU
rnacentral:rRNA from 1 species